GACGAACGCUGGCGGCGUGCCUAAUACAUGCAAGUAGAACGCUGAAGGAGGAGCUUGCUCUUCUGGAUGAGUUGCGAACGGGUGAGUAACGCGUAGGUAACCUGCCUGUUAUCGGGGGAUAACUAUUGGAAACGAUAUCUAAUACCGCAUAACAGUAUAUGUUGCAUGACAUUUACUUAAAAGGUGCAAUUGCAUCACUACCAGAUGGACCUGCGUUGUAUUAGCUAGUUGGUGGGGUAACGGCUCACCAAGGCGACGAUACAUAGCCGACCUGAGAGGGUGAUCGGCCACACUGGGACUGAGACACGGCCCAGCCUCCUCCGGGAGGCAGCAGUAGGGAAUCUUCGGCAAUGGACGGAAGUCUGACCGAGCAACGCCGCGUGAGUGAAGAAGGUUUUCGGAUCGUAAAGCUCUGUUGUAAGAGAAGAACGAGUGUGAGAGUGGAAAGUUCACACUGUGACGGUAUCUUACAAGAAAGGGACGGCUAACUCCGU
rnacentral:rRNA from 1 species